rnacentral:rRNA from 1 species
AUUGAACGCUGGCGGCAGGCCUAACACAUGCAAGUCGAGCGGAUGAAGGGGGCUUGCUCCUGGAUUCAGCGGCGGACGGGUGAGUAAUGCCUAGGAAUCUGCCUGGUAGCGGGGGAUAACGUCCGGAAACGGGCGCUAAUACCGCAUACGUCCUGAGGGAGAAAGUGGGGGAUCUUCGGACCUCACGCUAUCAGAUGAGCCUAGGUCGGAUUAGCUAGUUGGUGGGGUAAAGGCCUACCAAGGCGACGAUCCGUAACUGGUCUGAGAGGAUGAUCAGUCACACUGGAACUGAGACACGGUCCAGACUCCUACGGGAGGCAGCAGUGGGGAAUAUUGGACAAUGGGCGAAAGCCUGAUCCAGCCAUGCCGCGUGUGUGAAGAAGGUCUUCGGAUUGUAAAGCACUUUAAGUUGGGAGGAAGGGCAGUAAGUUAAUACCUUGCUGUUUUGACGUUACCAACAGAAUAAGCACCGGCUAACUUCGUG